rnacentral:lncRNA from 1 species
UAUUGUUGUAAUACAAUCAUUAUAAGUGUUUUUUACUAUAAAACUUACAAGUUACAUUCCAAGAAAUUGCAAGUGUUUUCAUUUAUCCACUGUCAACCAGAUUUAGCCACUAUAGAAUUUGCAGAUCCUCUUCAUCUAAUUACUAGCUAAAGCUGGUUAACUGUUGAUAUAACAGUAUAAUUUUAACGUCGUAUUCGAUAAUAUAAGUGAAUUGGAAUUUAAUUACAGCAGUUUCACGAGAUUCGCAACCCCUUGCGAAAAGUCUUGUUAGCAAUAGUUGUUUUUGACAUUCAGGGACCAUGCAGAGACGGAUUUUCAUAUUUUCGUUUGGGGAGAUGGAUAAAUAUCUGGGGGGUGCUGCUGCUUGCUUUGGCCGGGUGUGGUGGAAAC